rfam:Schistosoma mansoni, Puerto Rico, WGS project CABG01000000 data, contig: 0184
AUCCAGCUGACGAGUCCCAAAUAGGACUAAGUAGCGCGCGUCCUGGAU